rnacentral:rRNA from 1 species
GAUGAACGCUAGCGGCAGGCUUAAUACAUGCAAGUCGUGGGGCAGCAUGAGUAGCAAUACUUGAUGGCGACCGGCAAACGGGUGAGGAACACGUACACAACCUUCCUUCAAGCGGGGAAUAGCCCAGAGAAAUUUGGAUUAAUACCCCAUAAUAUAUUUGAUAAGGCAUCUUAUUAAUAUUAAAGCUUCGGCACUUGAUGAUGGGUGUGCGGCUGAUUAGAUAGUUGGCGGGGUAACGGCCCACCAAGUCUACGAUCAGUAGCUGAUGUGAGAGCAUGAUCAGCCACACGGGCACUGAGACACGGGCCCGACUCCUACGGGAGGCAGCAGUAAGGAAUAUUGGACAAUGGACGAAAGUCUGAUUCAGCCACGCCGCGUGAAGGAUUAAGGUCCUCUGGAUUGUAAACUUCUUUAUAUGGGACGAAAAAGGGCAUUCUUGUUCAUUUGACGGUACCAUAUGAAUAAGCACCGGCUAACUCCGU